UCUCCGUGUGUCUGAUUCUCCUCCAGAAGCAAGGCUUCUCUGAGCAGUGCUCCUUCACUCACACUGAAGACCCUACAGGGAAUCAGUACCACACACACAAGUCUUCUAGAGAAUUCUCUUGAAGGAUAGACUGCUUCCACCAAGGAAUAGAACUUAAAUUCAGCAAGAGCACAAGAAACCACCCACGGCCCAGGACGUCAGCAUGAGGAGAGAAAGAAUCCCCAGACUUCAGAUUACCAACAAGGAGAGAAAUGAACGCUCUAUUCCAAGAGAUCUCCUCUCACUUGUCCCUAUAAGCUGGACACCUGCGUCUCAGGACCGACGACUCCCUUACGUCUCCAGGCCUCCUGAAGAAGCGUCUAUGCCACUCCUCCAGCAGGUCACUCCGUGUGCCCAUCAGCUGUGCUGUGUGGUCUGUGCCGUGGCCUGUGAGAUGGACGGCAUCAUCACAUUGCCACUCAGCAAGGCUUUUAUUCAGGUGAGAGAGCAUCUUACAACCAGGAGCAUCUCAGAAUUGGGGAAAUAGCAUCUGGGAAGAGGGAUCGGAAUGACCUCAAACGGGCGGGAUUAUUGGCUCUCUUUAGAGAAGAUACUGAAGAGGUCGAAUCACCAUAACUGAGUGGAGCGCAGAAAAACAUAAGCAAAGGCCGGUUCCUUCCACCUAUUUGGAGCAAGUGGAGAAAGGCACUGCAAAGACCAGAGGAAGAAACUGGAAGAACAGGGAGCAGGGGAAUGUGUGUCUCCCCUUAUUUUUCAACAGGGAGAAUUAAGCCUCUUAUUUUUAAUUUGCUUUUGCCCUUACAUGCCCCAGAAUCUAGAACAAUGUAUAGGGUAGAAGCUCCCUAAAUAUUUGUGGGGUGAAUGAGGGAUCCUGGUGUGACUGUUGGAAUGCUUCAUCUGUGAGUUCAAACCCCAGUUACAAAUUGUGUUCCGCGCAAACUUAGUUCCAAGGGAUGUGAAUAGGCCUUCCCUCCCUCAUUUGACGUUUGUUCUGUCACUUUUUCCUUUAUUUUCAUUUAAAAAAAGAUUGUGACAUAA